UAUAGUUUGGGAAGAGAGUUGGGAGGUCGUGGGUUGGUACUGGUGGGUUCUCUGGUUCGAGAGGGAAUUUGAAAUGCAACGGUGGAGUUGGGCCGUGAUAAGGUUUUAGAAAGGAGAUGUGGAAGACUGGAUGGAUACAUGAUGACGAGGGAAGGAAAAGUUCAUAUGCCACUUCAUUGAUGCGACAUUUAAUGGGAUAGAGACCAAAGAAUCUUUGUCCAAGCUUAUUGUGAGUCUUGGACGAGAGUGAUGUUUGGCAGUAAGCUUGCCGUCGGAGAAGUACCCAGUCGUUUUCCCUGAAAUUGUAAUCAAGUCUUGAUUUGUUUGUUGAUUCUGCCAUUCUUUGUUGUGUUGUUUUCAGCGUGGCUUUUAAUUGCUGCAGCAUUCGCGCACGCUCCUGUAAUGUGGUAUCCAGUGUUGGUUCUGCGGCAGUUCCUGGAACGUAAUCUGGAAUGGAAGGAGGCGAUCGUCCAUCCAGAGCCUAGAAGGGUGUAAUUUUGAUGGCCGAGUGGUGUGAGGAGUUGUACCAAAACUCCGCAAGGUACAAAUAGCAAUACCAUGUUCGUGGAUUUUCGCUGGUAAAGCACCUAAGGUAAGCUUCUAAACAGCGAUUUAUAACUUCGGUUUGACCGUCAAUUUGGGGGUGAACUUUAAUUUUGUGCCUUGCAGAUGAAACAACUCAUUCCAAACACGGCUCUGGAACACUGGAUCACAGUCUGGAAUGAUGGAUUUAGGGACUCCAUGUAACCUGCAAAUUUCAAUAGAAAAACGGUUAGCUAAAUGGGUGGCUGUGAAGGACGUGGGAAGGCCGAUGAAGUGGGCUGAUUUGGACAGCCUGUCACAGACAUGUUGAACCAAGUGGUGUUCAAGCUUUGAAGAAUCCAAACUCUUUGAAGAAUGAUGAAGGCUGGUUGUGCUUGUUGUUGCUGUGUUGUCUUUUAGAUAGGAUCUGGGGUAGAUUUAAUAUGUAAUCAACUCUUGAUUGAAUCCAAAGCAUAAACACUCUCAAUCCUUUUAAAAGAAAAGUGUUUUUCAAACUAAGUGAAAAACAACCUGUUGUUUUGUCGA
rnacentral:lncRNA from 1 species